ACUCAAAGGAAUUGACGGGGGCCCGCACAAGCGGUGGAGCAUGUGGUUUAAUUCGAUGCAACGCGAAGAACCUUACCAGGUCUUGACAUCCCACGAAUCCUCUUGAAAGGGAGGAGUGCCUUCGGGAGCGUGGAGACAGGUGGUGCAUGGUUGUCGUCAGCUCGUGUCGUGAGAUGUUGGGUUAAGUCCCGCAACGAGCGCAACCCUUGCUAUUAGUUGCUAACAGUUAAAGCUGAGCACUCUAAUGGGACUGCCGGUGACAAGCCGGAGGAAGGUGGGGAUGACGUCAAAUCAUCAUGCCCUUUAUGACCUGGGCUACACACGUGCUACAAUGGAUGGUACAGAGAGCGGCGAGGCAGUGAUGCGGAGCGAAUCUCAAAAAGCCAUUCUCAGUUCGGAUUGUAGUCUGCAACUCGACUACAUGAAGUCGGAAUCGCUAGUAAUCGCGAAUCAGCAUGUCGCGGUGAAUGCGUUCCCGGGCCUUGUACACACCGCCCGU
rnacentral:rRNA from 1 species